rnacentral:lncRNA from 1 species
ACCCCUAAUAUACUCAGCAGUGCCGCAAUAACAGACCCCCCGAACGAUCGUCUUAUUUACACCCCUCCUCCCAUCGUUUUGAGCUUCUUCUUCAGAGAAGAAAAGCCAAAUUCCAUGGCGUCUUCCUAACCCAAAAAACGACCAGCACCCUAGAACACAAGCCAGUAGGCGUUACACCCAUCAAGACCCUUCAUCUUCCUCAAGUUAACAAAAAUCUAGAGACCUAGCUUCAGCUUCAGCUCCCUUCACCCAUCGUUGUUUCUGCUUUUCUCGUCCAUAACAUCUCAUCGGAAAAUGCCGCAAACAACUUCAAAUACCAGUCAAAAGCACAACAUGCUGCUGCUUGUCUUCUUCCUUCAAAACUGACCUCCAAUCUCCGUUGCAACAAGCUGUAGAACCAGCUCUAAGAACAUGAAAACAGGAGUUCAAACUGCAGCUCGGUGCCAUGAAAAUAGCGGCGUGUGUGCGAAUUUUCUGAUUCUCGCUGGACUUUCAGAUCCGGCUAUUUUUUUAAAACUUUCCAGCGAGUUCCGAGUUUGUCCAGAUGAGGUUUUGUCCAAGGUUCAGUUACUUGAGCUCGAUCGGUUUCGAGGUCGCCAACGCGGUUCAUUGGCUUGAUUCAAAUGUUGUUGUGUUUUGCGCAAAAAGUCCGUUUGGAGCACUUUGUUAAUAAAGUCAGGAAGUUUUCACAUUAUUAAAGGUCCAUUAUUUCUACCUUUCUUUACUAUUUUUAGUUGAAUAUUGUUUGCUAUUUGUCUCUGUUAAACCAUUUGAUUGCUUUAUGUGGUUAAAGAUUUUGAAAGAAUAUUAUAUUGUUUGUUCCCUAUUUUGUUCAUGAGAUUUAUAUGGUCAGUGAGUUUAGUCGAUUAAGAUAAAAUAUUAAAAUUGAAUUAAGUGUAAAUUUUGUGAAAUGGACAUCAUGAAGAAUUAGGCUUGGGCUAGUAUUAUGUUUAAUUCUUUUACAUCCUUUCUUUCUCUUUCUUUCUUGUUGUUAAUUAUUUGAGUUUAUAAUUGUCUCGAAUGCAUAGUUGUUUGUUUGUUUAUGUUGGUCAUAUGAUAUGAAGGGAUAUAAGGGGUUUCGAGUAAUUGGAUUAUUAUUGGGUCUAAAUAAUAGUGAUUGAGAGAUAUGGGCCGCGUUAUAUCCAAAGUCCGUUAAAUAAUAAAAGGCAUGGAAAUAACAAUUGUGUGAAUGAGUGAGGCGAGUCGCGAAUUAAUUCAAAGACUCGUCGCAAAAGAGAAAGGAAAGAGUAAAAAAUAGAUAAAACAAAUGUCUCAAUUGCAAGAGACAAAUAAUUAACAAUAUCUCUAGUAUACUCUAUGCGCGUAUUAACCAAUAAACCAUCAUGAUUGUGGGUACUGUUCCCACAGCAUGGUUACGAUAUAUAAAUCUCAAUUUGGGGGUGCAUUUCAUGUAACUCUAUUAUAACAACUUCGAAUAAUGUAAUCCUUGGAAAUUAGAAAUCGAGGCGUGCCAUUUAGCGAAUUUUCAUGGCCCUCGCGAAGUUGCAAGUGCGUAGUUGCUUUAGGCGCGCUAUUUAAAUUAAUUUCCUUAAACUCGGGUGUGCAUUUCAUGUGACCCAACUCCAAUUCUCAAUAACGUUAAAUAAAAUAUGUCGUGGAUCGCGGGUGCAUUUCAUGUGGCGUGGUUCAAGACAUGUUUUAAAUAACGUUGAAUCUUCCUAAAAAAUAAUUAAAAGCGGUUUAAUAAGUUAAAAUGUACCAUAGGCUAAAACAUGUAUUAAAAUCAAAUAAUAAGCCAAUUUUAAUAGUUUAAGCGACUGUGCUAGAACCACGGAACUCGGAAAUGCCUAACACUUUCUCCCGGGUUAACAAAAUUUCUUACCCGGAUUUCUGGUGUGCGGACUAUUAAACAGAGUCAAUCUUUUCCUCGAUUCGGGAUUUGAACCGGUGACUUGGGAUACCCUAAAAUUAUCUCUAGUGGCGACUCUGAAUUUAAUAAAUAAAUAAUCUCGUUUCGAUUGUCACUUAAAUUGGAAAAAUUCUCUAUAUGCCCCUUUCGGGGUGUAGGAAAAAGGAGGUGUGACACAUGGGGACGGAUUGGCCUUCCUCGGUACUGAGUGACUGAUGAUCAGUGAUGUAUAUAUUUCGGGAUGGAUCUUCCUGGGCCGUAUGGGCCAUAUACAGUAUCGAGUGGUUAAGUAUUGAUGAGAGGAAAGUGUGAGACAAUGAGAUUGAGUACUCUAAGAGUGGGACUACAUGAUUCAUCUCUGGGAUACACGACAUUAGCAUGCACACAUGACAUACAUGCAUAGAGAUGCAUUUUUCCUCGUGUUGUACGGUAUCAUGUCGUUCUUGAAUUUUUUACACACACUGAUAUGUGCGCAUAGCGAGGUAUUUAACACAUGUUAUCUGGAAAGAAAAAUGAAACAUCUUAUUUAUUGUGAAAAAGGAUUUUUGGAAAAAUUUAGAGUUUUCAAACUAUCUCUUAUUUUAUGACGAUUUCGAUAAAGGAUUUGAGUUUUCACUGAUAUUCUUGAAAAGCGGAACUAUUUUUCGGAAAAACUAUGAAAAAGUUGAGCAUCUUAUCUCUGAGUUACUUCCUUAUUUAUAUGUUUUACGUUGUUAUGAAUUAUUGUUGGCUAUUGGUGUUGGACCCGAUCAUGUCCAGCUCGUCACUACUUUCAACCUAAGGUUAGGUUUAUUACUUAUUGAGUAUUUGAGGUCGGUUGUACUCAUACUACACUUCUGCACCUUGCGUGCAGAUGUUAACUGAUGAUGAUGCUGCGAUCGACGGGAGCUAGGAUUGAAGAUGUAAUUGUGUUUCUGUUGUAGCUGUCUCUUGUUCAUGGUAGCCUUAGAUUCAUAGAACUCUGUUUAUGUACUUUUCAAACAGAAGGUGUAUUUACUUCCUAUCAACUUUGUAAA